rnacentral:rRNA from 1 species
AUUGAACGCUGGCGGCAUGCCUUACACAUGCAAGUCGAACGGUAACAGGUUAAGCUGACGAGUGGCGAACGGGUGAGUAAUGUAUCGGAACGUGCCCAGUCGUGGGGGAUAACUGCUCGAAAGAGCAGCUAAUACCGCAUACGACCUGAGGGUGAAAGCGGGGGAUCGCAAGACCUCGCGCGAUCGGAGCGGCCGAUAUCAGAUUAGGUAGUUGGUGAGGUAAAGGCUCACCAAGCCGACGAUCUGUAGCUGGUCUGAGAGGACGACCAGCCACACUGGGACUGAGACACGGCCCAGACUCCUACGGGAGGCAGCAGUGGGGAAUAUUGGACAAUGGGCGCAAGCCUGAUCCAGCCAUGCCGCGUGCGGGAAGAAGGCCUUCGGGUUGUAAAACGCUUUUGUCAGGGAAGAAAAGGUUCUGGCUAAUACCUGGGACUCAUGACGGUACCUGAAGAAUAAGCACCGGCUAACUACGUG